CUGUGAGCUUCCUUCGAGCUCAGGAUGGCGAGGACGUCUGUUGUUCUCUGACAGCUGCUGACUUAGUCUAUUUGUUCUUGGGACCAUUUUAUCGAACACUUGGUCUCACUGUGAGCCGACACGUCUGCCACCAAAGCUGCUUCCCUCUCCACUGAUCUUAUCUUUAGUGUACCGUGUUGUUGAGCAGACGCUGGUAAAAUGUCUCUAACUGUAGCUGAUCUGACCAGAGGAGCGAUGACAGAGUUCCAGGAGAAGCUCCGCCAGCAGCACGAGGACUCGAUGCACCGCGAGCUGGAGGCGCUGCUCAACACCGCCAACAAGGCCGAGGCAGAGAUCUCCAGAAAAGAUUUUGAUGGCUUCAAGAAGAUCUUCCACAGAUUCCUGCAGGUCACAGGCCCUUCGGUUGA